AGUGAACGCUGGCGGUGGGCCUAACACAUGCAAGUCGAACGGCAGCACAGUAAGAGCUUGCUCUUACGGGUGGCGAGUGGCGGACGGGUGAGGAAUACAUCGGAAUCUACUUUUUCGUGGGGGAUAACGUAGGGAAACUUACGCUAAUACCGCAUACGACCUACGGGUGAAAGCAGGGGAUCUUCGGACCUUGCGCGGUUGAAUGAGCCGAUGUCGGAUUAGCUAGUUGGCGGGGUAAAGGCCCACCAAGGCGACGAUCCGUAGCUGGUCUGAGAGGAUGAUCAGCCACACUGGAACUGAGACACGGUCCAGACUCCUACGGGAGGCAGCAGUGGGGAAUAUUGGACAAUGGGCGCAAGCCUGAUCCAGCCAUACCGCGUGGGUGAAGAAGGCCUUCGGGUUGUAAAGCCCUUUUGUUGGGAAAGAAAAGCAGCAGGUUAAUACCCCGCUGUUCUGACGGUACCCAAAGAAUAAGCACCGGCUAACUUCGUG
rnacentral:rRNA from 1 species